GGGGCUGUCUCGAUUCGACAGGACGUACUUUCAAAAUACGCAAGCCGAUCAUGAUGGUACGAUCGCAAACACUUCCAUCAACUGAUAAGUGCAAACUUUAUCUCAAAGGCCAAGUCGGCAUUCGCUUCAGCGUUUACUCCGUCUUACGCUUUCGCCCUCGCCUAAUCGCCUGGGAGCAGCGCUUCGGCGUCGCUCACCGAGCUAGGCUGGACCAUCGGUCUCCCGAUUCUCGAUAGGGAAACACCGGUGUCAUACUUCGAGAAGGCCCAGGGACUUUCUUCUUGUUUUUCUUCCCCGAUCCCCUUUUGCGAAAGACUCGUCUUCUCUCCUUUCUGUCCACCGUUGAAGAGAGAAGGAAUACACGGCGGACUAUGCUUGUAGACUAUUUUGAAGGAAUGUGACUGGACAUGGGUGCGAUUCCCAUCAGCUCCACUG
rnacentral:tmRNA from 1 species